CACGGGGGGAGCAAGCGUUGUUCGGAAUCACUGGGCGUAAAGGGCGUGUAGGCGGUUGUGUAAGUGGGAUGUGAAAUGCCUCGGCUUACCCGGGGACCUGCAUCCCAUACUGCAUGACUUGAGUACGGGAGAGGAUGAGGGAAUUCCGGGUGUAGUGGUGGAAUGCGUAGAGAUCCGGAGGAACACCAGCGGCGAAGGCGGCGUCCUGGACUGGUACUGACGCUCAGGAGCGAAAGCGUGGGGAGCGAUCCGG
rnacentral:rRNA from 1 species